GAUCAUGGCUCGGGAUGAACGCUAGCGACAGGCUUAACACAUGCAAGUCGAGGGGCAGCACAGGUAGCAAUACCGGGUGGCGACCGGCGCACGGGUGAGUAACGCGUAUGCAACUUGCCUAUCAGAGGGGGAUAACCCGGCGAAAGUCGGACUAAUACCGCAUGAAGCAGGGGCCCCGCAUGGGGAUAUUUGCUAAAGAUUCAUCGCUGGUAGAUAGGCAUGCGUUCCAUUAGG
rnacentral:rRNA from 1 species